rnacentral:rRNA from 1 species
UACAGAGGGGGCAAGCGUUGUUCGGAAUUACUGGGCGUAAAGCGCGUGUAGGUGGCGAGGCAAGUCGGGUGUGAAAGCCCUGGGCUCAACCCAGGAAGUGCACUCGAUACUGCCUAGCUAGAGUCCCGGAGAGGUUGGUGGAACUCUCGGUGUAGAGGUGAAAUUCGUAGAUAUCGAGAAGAACACCGGUGGCGAAGGCGGCCAACUGGACGGUGACUGACACUGAGACGCGAAAGCGUGGGGAGCAAACAGG